AACCUUAAACAUAAAAUUUUUAUUUUUAUUUACACGGUAACCUGCACGAUUCACCUGUUAUACCAGGUUUAUCCACUAAGAUGAUUUACAUUAAAGAUGAUGUGCUCAGUGUGGGUCCUAUAAGGUAUCACAAUAUCCUGUUUACAGGUAUGAACAGGCUGCAGUUCUGCUGAAGGGAAAUGACGAUCUUAACCUGAAAUACAACAAGUGCAUUACAUCUCAUUGAUUGUUUCCAUGGUUAAUUUUCUAAUAAACAUCGUUAAUCAAUAUAUUUUAUUUUUUGAUUCAGACCAUCAACAAAAUCGUCCAGUCCUGCUCUUUUCACCUGCGCUCCAUUUCAAAUAUUAAACAGAUCCUCCAAAAAAUAAUCCAUGUUUUUAUUCUC